CGGCGUGCUUAACACAUGCAAGUCGAACGAUGAUGCUCCAGCUUUGUUGGGGUGGAUUAGUGGCGAACGGGUGAGUAACACGUGAGUAACCUGCCCUCUUCUUUGGGAUAACGGUCGGAAACGGCUGCUAAUACUGGAUAUUCACUCAUUGGCGCAUGUUGGUGGGUGGAAAGGUUUUUCUGGUGGGGGAUGGGCUCGCGGCCUAUCAGCUUGKUGGKGGGGUGAUGGCCUACCAAGGCUUUGACGGGUAACCSGCCUGAGAGGGUGACCSGUCACAUUGGGACUGAGAUACGGCCCARACUCCUACGGGAGGCAGCAGUGGGGAAUUUUGCACAAUGGGCGCAAGCCUGAUGCAGCGACGCCSCGUGAGGGAUGAAGGCCUUCGGGUUGUAAACCUUUUUCGCUCAUGGUCAAGCCSCAGCUUUGGGUUGKGGUGAGGGUAGKGGGUAAAGAAGCCCCCGCUMACUACGUGCCAGCAGCCGCGGUAAUAC
rnacentral:rRNA from 1 species